UGGGGACUGGUCCAGAGGGCAGUGGCCCAGAUCAGGCCCUCGAGAUGAGGUCCUGGGACCUGGCUGGAAGCCCUGGAGAAAGGCGCUCACGCACAUGGAGGUGUGACAAGAACCUUCCAGAGGCCACCCUGACGCCAUGAGGGAAGGAGUGCAGCUGCCUGACCCCCUCAUGGGUACCUGGGAGGGUCAGAAGGUCAUGAACUCUCCAGGCAAGGCCAGAGCCCAUGGAAGCCCCUUCCAGCCAGAGAAGACCAGCAAAUGGAGAUUCCAGGGUAUACUGAAGACAGGCAGCAUGGUGACAGAAGUUCAUCGCACACACUACUGUUUGGUGGCAAACUGAGGAGUCCCCUUGAGGACCGAGGAGCUUCCAGAAGCUGUGGAUCACAAGAGUCAACCCACCCGUAAGAAGUGAGCCAGGCAGCGGUUCAACUGUGGAAAGAAUUCGGUAAGCAAGUUUCACUUCACUGCAAUAAAGAAGCCUGACUGCAUCCUGAUG